UAGUGUGCGUAAGUCAAAUAAACAACUCAGAAUCUCAUCAAAUUAAAAACAAGAAUUGUAUCAGAAAUCUGAAACCCAAGGGAAAGAAGAUAACAUAACUAACCUUCAAUAGAUCGCUCAUGCUGGUUGUAGGGUGUGGAAAAUUCCUGAAGCGCCUUUUUCGAGUAGGACGACUCCUUUCGGGCUCCACGCUAGUACUAGAACUUUCAGCAGAGGUGGUCUGUCAACAGGCCGUGCGGGAACAGAGCCGAGG